rnacentral:rRNA from 1 species
UACGAAGGGGGCUAGCGUUGUUCGGAAUUACUGGGCGUAAAGCGCGCGUAGGCGGGUUGUUAAGUCAGGGGUGAAAUGCCGAGGCUCAACCUCGGAACUGCCUUUGAUACUGGCAACCUGGAGUUCGGGAGAGGUGAGUGGAAUUCCGAGUGUAGAGGUGAAAUUCGUAGAUAUUCGGAGGAACACCAGAAGCGAAGGCGGCUCACUGGCCCGAUACUGACGCUGAGGCGCGAAAGCGUGGGGAGCAAAC